CAUGCUGUGCUGCUCACGACGAAGGGAGAAGCCAAGAGCCGCCACGCCCGCUUUCGGCUGCCCCAAGCAAACCGCAGCGCCCGGCAUUGGAAUAACCACUUCGUGUGCAUUCUCUGAUUUAAUGAUCAACCGCAGGGAGUUGACACUAAGGACAAUGACUUCAGCCUUCUACAUACCCUUGAGUUUCUCUGCCAAUGACAAUCUUGGGCUUAAUGAACCAUGGUUCUGAUGAGCCUGGUACAGGGAUACAGCAGAGGAGAGACACGCGUCCCACCCUCACGAGGCCUGCACACCAGUGGGGGCUAGCAGCACGUGGAAGAGACUGCAGACAGCCUGCCCCUCUUCCUCCCAGGAACACAAUCUCCCAGGUAUUGGCUGUUCUGCUGGAGACCACGGGCUGUGAGGACAGACACGAGUCGGCGGGGAAGGGCUCAGCCAUGGGUGGCUGCGGCUAUGCUGUGUCUGUCACUGCCGUCCACAGUCACCUCCCAGUAGCCCACGGGGCUGCUCCCCAGCACUGCUCCUUUCUGGGGAGGGGUUGAAGCCUUGAGCUUUAAGGGGCCUAGAUCCCAGCAUUCCAUGUCCCUAGUGGGUAAGGAUGAGAGAAACUAUGUGAGAGCCUCAAAUAAAUAAUAACAAGUAUUUGUGUGCUUAGGGAAGUCAGUGUUGUACUUUGAAAACUUGCAAAUUAGUCCUAGAAUGUUAGUAUGCUCCCAUUCUGUGCUCUUUUCCUCCUUCUGGUCUUUGUUCUUCACUCUCUGUAGCAGACACUUGCUUUGUGCCCCACAUCAUCCUCUCCCCCCUCCUUAUGGCCAUAGCACCUGGAUUCUGUUUGGGGGAAAUCAUCUCUUCCCUACUCUCAGACCAGGUGUUACAAGGAAAGUGGACUCACUCUGGUUCUAGGAAAUGAACACACGUCUCAGGCUCAAGUUCCUUCCCCUCCGACCACCGUGACGGAUUCAAGAACAUGACAUGACGUAGUCAUGCCAAGUGGAGCUAAUGAGACUCAUUUCUGGGGUCGUUCUUUGAGUUAACAGGGAAGCGAUCACCUUGUUUUUCUCUGGACUCCAAGGUGGAAAGAUGCAGGCUAGAGCUGAAGGUGUCUUGCUAGGAUGGAAAGAGUCUAUCUGUGAAGACAGCCAGCCCAAAGGGGGCAGUGCGGAGGGAUGGAGGUGGGGAAACCAAUGCCACUGACACAGUCUGAGCUCUGACUAAGCUGUAUAGGUAGCCAGUCCUGCUCUGCUCUUGUUGGUUAUAUGAGACAAUACACUUCCUUCUUGCUCAAGCUAGUUCACUUCUGUCACAGGUCACAGAAAGAGUCCUCACUGAUGCGUUCUCCAUUUUCCCAACUCACCAACACAAUCUGACACUGAAAGUCACUUGCCUGGCAAUCAAGUACAAAAAAAAAAAAAAAAAAAAAA